CUUCAACGAACCCAGCCACAACGGCACUUCACGGUCCCUGCCGUACGUCGCCAGCAACGCCUGCGCCUC
rfam:Streptomyces sp. e14 genomic scaffold supercont1.1, whole genome shotgun sequence.